GGCCCUCCUGAUUGAUGCUUACCACAGGUUCCGUUCUUACUCUGACCAUAUAGAAAAAGGGUAGGCAGAGUAGGCCUAUCCCACGUCGGCCUCAGCCCAGGCCCUGCGCCUGCUGGGUGUUAUGAAUGGGAAAACAUGG
ensembl:snoRNA